ACAUAUGGGAUACUAGAUGCUAAAAAUGUCAAAAAAAUUACGAACUGGGACGAUUUAAUCUUGAAUUUCACGGAAGACAAAUAAAUCGUAAAAUUUUUGUUGACUUUCAAAAUAAAUGACAAAGUUUUAGUUGACUUGCCAUUUGAGUCAUAUCGUUAAAUAGGUUAACAUAAUUUUUUACGGUGUUAAUGUCUGGUUUAUUUGCUCUGUUAGAACAAAACGACGUCGUUUAUUGUAGAACUAUUUCUCGUUUAUCUACUCUGUUAGAACAAAAAAAAUUGUUCUAACAGAGUAGAUAAACGAGAAAUAGUUCAACAGACAAAAUGAUCUGCAAUAAACGACGUUGUUUUGUUCUAACAGAGUAGAUAAACGAGACAUUAACGCCGUAAAUUUUUUUUGUUAACCUAUUUAACGACAUGACUCAAAUGACAAGUCAACAAAAACUUUGUCAUUUAUUUCGAAAGUCAACAAAAACUUUACAAUUUAUUUGUCUUAUGUAAAGUUCAAGAUUAAAUCGUCCCAUAUUUGAAAGUUCGUGAUUUUUUUAACAUUUUUCCCGAUACUAGAUGUGACUUUUAUUUGAAUACUUGGCUUCAUAAUCUC
rnacentral:sRNA from 1 species